rnacentral:rRNA from 1 species
CCUCCGUUCUUCAGCAGUUUGUGAUAUUGCACAAUUGUUGAAACCCUUAUGCAGCGACGCCGCGUGUGGGAAGACGGUCCUCUGGAUUGUAAACCACUGUCCCCAGGGACGAAGAUGACGGUACCUGGGGAGGAAGCUCCGGCUAACUACGUGCCAGCAGCCGCGGUAAUACGUAGGGAGUAAGCGUUGUCCGGAAUUACUGGGUGUAAAGGGAGCGUAGGCGGGAUGGCAUGUUGGGUGUUAAAUCUACCGGCUCAACUGGUAGUCGCACUCAAAACUGCUAUUCUUGAGUGAAGUAGAGGCAGGCGGAAUUCCUAGUGUAGCGGUGAAAUGCGUAGAUAUUAGGAGGAACACCAGUGGCGAAGGCGGCCUGCUGGGCUUUUACUGACGCUGAGGCUCGAAAGUGUGGGGAGCAAACAGGAUUAGAUACCCGAGUAGUC